CCUCCAUCAAAUACUAGAGGUGUUUGGACCAAUUUUGGGUCCAUAUAACUCUACAAGGCACCUUACAAUUCGUCGUGAUGAUCAUCCCUUAUCAGAGGAGUUUUUGUUUGGAUUUCAAUAAGGUGUCUAGCAGCUAGUGUAGCGUGAAGGGCAGCACCAAAUGGAAAUGCAUCUUCAUUGAUUUCAAAAUAAGGUGAGUGUGGUGAAGGAAAUUUUCCCUUUGUUUCAUUUUUCAUACCGAGGAAAUAAAAGUAGCCUGGUAUGGCCUCUUGGUAGAAUGAAAAAUCUUCAGAUCCCAUCAAUGGUUGCAUGUGUUC
rnacentral:lncRNA from 1 species